rnacentral:lncRNA from 1 species
CUUUCUUCGGCACUAGGAGAGCAGGAACUACACAAUGACUCAUACUCUCACGAAUGUAGCCCCUUUCCAAUAAUUCUAUCACCUGUCGCUGCAACUCUUCAGCUUCCUUGGGACUGAGGCGAUAUGCUGGUCAGUUUGGUAGACUCGACCCCGGAAUGAGGUCGAUCUGAUGUUGAAUGUCCCUCAUAGGUGGUAGUCUUGGAGGAAGAUCCUUUGGCAUCAAGUCAGAAAACUCCAUCAGUAGUUGCUGUACUUCUGCUGGAAAUUCUGAAUCCACACUCACUGUACUAUUUUCACGAGGCAUUAAAGCAUAAACUAUUUUUUCACGCCCAACCUCAACCAAAAACCUGGACAUAGAAAGUAGAUUGGGGUUUUUAACUACCGGGGUAGGGAUGUUUCCUUCCCUGCGAGGCACCAAAACAAUUCCCUUUCCUUUGAUACUAAGAGAAUAAGUAUUCUUCCGCCCAUCAUGGAUAACACUGCUAUCAUACUACCAAGGUCGUCCCAACAAAACAUGACAGGCGUCCAUUGAUACCACAUCACACCAAGCAUUAUCAAAAUAUUUUUUUCCAAUUGAGAAAGACACUAAGCAUUGUUUUUCUACCGUUACCUCACUGCCUUUAUUCAGCCAAGACAACUUGUAUGGUUUGGGAUGACGAUCCAUCUUCAGUUGCAGUUUCUCGAUAGCCUCCUCAGACACUACAUUCUCACAACUGCCACUAUCAAUUAUCAGCUUACAAACUUUAUCAGCAACUGUGCAGGUUGUGUGGAAAACGUUGGUCCUCAACCAAUCAUCCCCUGAGUCGCCCUUGGGAGUCAGCAGGCUCUUUCGAACAACUAGGGUCUCCUGACCAUCUCCAUAUAGCACGUCCUCAUCUUCAUCCUCAUCAUACACGGGUUCCCCAACUUCCUCAAACUUCUCUAUCAUAUCCUCCUCAAUCAGAAGAUUUUUAUUCUUUUGACCAGCAGGCUUCCUGCAAUCAGUCGCCCUAUGCCCCUGUUCACCACACCUAAAGCACUUAAUACUUGAGCUGGAACUAUCCCACUGUGGCUGAUAAGCAGGACGAGAUUCUUGAGGGCGAAUUGGCUGACUUCCUUCACCUCUGACCACUGGCCUCCUACUUUGCUGUUUCUCUACUGCAAGUGCUUGCUGAUAUGCCUCGGAAACUGUCCACAAUGAAUGAAGGCUGAGAACAUCCUGCAAGGGCUGCCUUAAUCCCCCCAAAUACCGUGCUACCAUCUGUUCCUCCGUUUCAGAUAAAUCAUUCCAAGCCACAAACUGAUAGAAUUCUUCAGUAUAAUCAUUGACUGAUCUUGCGCCUUGCCUUAGUGAAUGGAGCCUCUGAAACAAGGUUUGAGUAUAGCCGAAAGGGAAGAAGUGCCAUUUCAUCUUCUUCUUCAUCUUCUCCCAGUUAGUAAUUUUGGAUUUCCCCUAUCGCUCCCGUGAGCGC